GGGCGAUUAGCUCAGCGGGAGAGCACACGCUUCACACGCGUGGGGUCGUAGGUUCAAAUCCUACAUCGCCCA
rfam:Meiothermus silvanus DSM 9946, complete genome.